CAUAGCGACUAUCGUGGCAUAUCAAUAAGCGGAGGAAAAGAAACUAACAAGGAUUCCCUUAGUAACGGCGAGUGAAGCGGGAAGAGCUCAAAUUUGAAAUCUUCAAGGUUUUACCUUGACGAAUUGUAGUUUAAAGAAGUGUUUUCUGUUGGAGUUUUGGUAGAAGUUCUUUGGAAUAGGACAUCAUAGAGGGUGAGAAUCCCGUAUUUGACCAUUAUUUCCAGCUGUGUGAUACACUUUCAAAGAGUCGGAUUGUUUGGGAAUGCAGUCCAAAAUGGGUGGUAAAUUUCAUCUAAAGCUAAAUAUUGGCGAGAGACCGAUAGCGAACAAGUACCGUGAGGGAGAGAUGAAAAGAACUUUGAAAAGAGAGUUAAACAGUACUGUGAAAUUGUCAAAAGGGAAGCGUUUGACACCAGUGUUGUUUUCUCGAAAAUCAAUUAAAAAUGAUGGGAUUUUGUGUUGUAUUGACUUUAUCAGCUUUCUGCACUUUUUUCCUAUCUUUUUUAAUGCACUUUUCGUUUAACAAGUCAACAUCAAUUUCUUUUGUUGUAAAAGAGUCAUUGGAAGGUGCUUUCUUUUCGGAGAAAGUGUUUAUAGCCUUUGACUUCUGCAAUCGGAGAGAUUGAGGUCUGCAGCGUAGAUCCUUCGGGGUUAGAUACAUUUGUGCUAAGUUAUAGCCUUUCAUAGACAACUUGUUGACUAUGAUCAGUCAUGUAGCUUACUCGCUUAUGCUAUUUUACCUACGCUUAGGAUGUUGACGAGACUGUCGAUCUC
rnacentral:rRNA from 1 species